UCAACCAAAUAAUUAAAAUUUUCUUUCUCCUGCUUCGCGUUUGAUUUCAUUCAAUAAAUUAAACUCAUCUUUUCUUCUACUCAAUUGCUUCAAAGGUUCUUAAAAUGUCUUAAAUACCCUUAUAAUAAAUAGACAUUUUGGUCUAAGAAUAGGUUGCUAACAUCCUCCUUCUAUAAGAGUAAAUGAGAGGAUGUCCGUGCACAACACCAUAAUUCAAUACUUUAAAUGAAAAUCAUCAUAUUUUCCAUGUCUUGUAGGGAGGAGGUUUCUUUAUUGAAACAAAGCCUUCUUCAGCUGGCUUAACAACUCUACAAUUAUUUGUUCGCAGAAAAAAUGUAAUUUUUGUUUUGGUAAGAUGACUUUAAUAAACGAGAAAACACACUUCCACUCUAGCACUUUUGUUUAUAACUUUGAAGAGAGCAUCUCACUCAUUAAAAGUCCACCCCAGGUAGCAUCUUCCUUUAAGUAUCCUCAUCUCCCCCACUAAACCCAUCCCCUUUUCUUCCGAAUACCAUUUUAAAUAGGCAACACGUGCGUGGGUGCACCCUUGGGGCUUGUGCAAUGCAUGAAGUAGCCAGAAGCCCCAAGAUGGAGA
rnacentral:lncRNA from 1 species